UGCGUAGGUGGUUUCUUAAGUCAGAGGUGAAAGGCUACGGCUCAACCGUAGUAAGCCUUUGAAACUGGGAAACUUGAGUGCAGGAGAGGAGAGUGGAAUUCCUAGUGUAGCGGUGAAAUGCGUAGAUAUUAGGAGGAACACCAGUGGCGAAGGCGGCUUUCUGGACGGUAACUGACGCUGAGGCGCGAAAGCGUGGGGAGGCAAAACA
rnacentral:rRNA from 1 species